rnacentral:rRNA from 1 species
AGUGAACGCUGGCGGCAGGCCUAACACAUGCAAGUCGAGCGGCAGCGCGGGGGCAACCCUGGCGGCGAGCGGCGGACGGGUGAGGAAUUCGUCGGAAUCUGCCUUUUUGUGGGGGAUAACGUAGGGAAACUUACGCUAAUACCGCAUACGUCCUACGGGAGAAAGUGGGGGACCGCAAGGCCUCACGCAGAAAGAUGAGCCGACGACCGAUUAGCUAGUUGGUGGGGUAAGGGCCCACCAAGGCGACGAUCGGUAGCUGGUCUGAGAGGAUGAUCAGCCACACUGGGACUGAGACACGGCCCAGACUCCUACGGGAGGCAGCAGUGGGGAAUAUUGGACAAUGGGCGCAAGCCUGAUCCAGCCAUGCCGCGUGUGUGAAGAAGGCCUUCGGGUUGUAAAGCACUUUUGUCCGGAAAGAAAUCCCUGGAGCUAAUACCUUCGGGGGAUGACGGUACCGGAAGAAUAAGCACCGGCUAACUUCGUG